rnacentral:rRNA from 1 species
CCGGAUUGGAGUCUGCAACUCGACUCCAUGAAGUCGGAAUCGCUAGUAAUCGCAGGUCAGCAUACUGCGGUGAAUACGUUCCCGGGCCUUGUACACACCGCCCGUCACACCAUGGGAGUGGGAUGCAAAAGAAGUAGCUAGUUUAACCUUCGGGAGAACGGUUACCACUUUGUGUUUCAUGACUGGGGUGAAGUCGUAACAAGGUAACCCUAGGGGAACCUGGGGU